GUUAGGAAUAUUGGACAAUGGACGCAAGUCUGAUCCAGCCAUGCCGCGUGAGUGAUGAAGGCCUUCGGGUUGUAAAGCUCUUUAGCCGAUGAUUAUAAUGACUGUAGUCGGAAAAUAAGCCCCGGCUAACUUCGUGCCAGCAGCCGCGGUAAUACGAAGGGGGCGAGCGUUAUUCGGAAUCACUGGGCGUAAAGCGUGCGUAGGCGGUUUUGUAAGUUGGGAGUGAAAGCCCAGGGCUCAACCCCGGAAUUGCUCUCAAAACUACAAGACUUGAAUUCGGGAGAGGAUAGCGGAAUUGUCAGUGUAGCAGUGAAAUGCGUAGAUAUUGACAGGAACACCAGUGGCGUAAGCGGCUAUCUGGACCGACAUUGACGCUGAGGCACGAAAGCGUGGGGAUCAAACAGGAUUAGAAACCCUUGUAGUCC
rnacentral:rRNA from 1 species